rnacentral:rRNA from 1 species
AACUGUUGCCGCAGUAUUUGACGGUGCGAGUGAUAAUACCUAUAUUAUGAAUAACAGACGUAAAGACCCUAGAAAUUUUCUAUAAGGUAUAAUAUACUUACUAUUAUUUUGUUGGGGCGACAGAGUAACAUAUAAACUUACUUUAUAAUAUUAGAAUUUUAUAUAAUGUUAAAAAAAAUUACUCUAGGGAUAACAGCAUAAUUAUUUAAUAGUUUGUGACCUCGAUGUUGGACUAAGGAAAGUUUUACUCAGAAGGUAAAAAAGUAUGUUCUGUUCGAACAAAAUGUCCUUACAUGAUCUGAGUUCG